rnacentral:rRNA from 1 species
GUAUGUAUUAAAUAUUUAGUCUGGCCUGCCCACUGAAAUUUUAAAGGGCUGCGGUAAUUUGACCGCUGCAAAGGUAGCAUAAUCAAUAGUCUUUUAAUUGGAGGCUUGAAUGAAAGGUUUGACGGAAAGAAGACUGUCUCUUUGGUUUAUUUUGAAUUUAACUUUUGUGUGAAAAGGCAUUAAUGAAUUAGUGGGACGAUAAGACCCUAUAAAACUUGACAUAUAUUAUUCUACUUCUUAGAUUUGUUUAAUAAUUAUAAAGUGGUUGAACAUGUUUUGCUGGGGCGGCAUAAAUAUAAUUUGUAACUGUUUGUUAGGUGAAAUAUAUAUUUAUAGAUUUUUGGUCUUUCAUUGAAGAGAUAAGAGUAAGUUACUUUAGGGAUAACAGCAUAAUUUUUUCUGAGAGUCCAUAUCGAAGAAAGUAGUUGUGACCUCGAUGUUGAAUUAAAUUUUCUUUUAGGUGCAGUAGUUUAAAGAGAGGGCCUGUUCGG